UACGGAGGGUGCAAGCGUUAUCCGGAUUCACUGGGCUUAAAGGGCGCGUAGGCGGGCAAGUAAGUCAGUGGUGAAAUCUCCGGGCUUAACCCGGAAACUGCCAUUGAUACUAUUUGUCUUGAAUACUGUGGAGGUCAGCGGAAUAUGUCAUGUAGCGGUGAAAUGCUUAGAUAUGACAUAGAACACCGAUUGCGAAGGCAGCUGGCUGCACAAAUAUUGACGCUGAGGCACGAAAGCGUGGGGAUCAAACAGG
rnacentral:rRNA from 1 species